AUGGCUGUUUAUCCAAAGUGAAGAACUGGUGUCAUCAUACAUGCACAAGUCCUUUCGGAGGUGUUUUAUAUACAUAUCCUGAAUUUAUAAGGAUUCUACUUUUCCUGGGAGGAAGCUAGCACCAUUUCUCUUAUGUACAACUCUCUUUUAAGGAAAACACAGCACUGAUUCUACAGAAAGGCUGAAGAAUGCCGUUUGUGCAGUCUGGUAGUUGGAUCAUUCUCAUGGGCGGUGGCAGAUGUAAAAGAACUUGGGUUUCCCACAAGGUAAGUG